GAUGAAGAACGUAGCGAAAUGCGAUAAGUAAUGUGAAUUGCAGAAUUCAGUGAAUCAUCGAAUCUUUGAACGCACCUUGCGCCCUUUGGCCAUUCCGAAGGGCAUGCCUGUUUGAGUAUCAUGAACACCUCAACUCUUCAUGGUUUUCCGUGAUGAGCUUGGACUUUGGGGUCUUGCUGGCCUAUGGUCAGCUCCUCUAAAAUAAAUCAGCUUGCCAGUGUUUGGUGGGUAUCACAGGUGUGAUAACUAUCUACGCUUGUGGUUUUCCACCAGGUAACCUUCAGCAGUGGAGGUUCGCUGGAGCUCACAGAUGUGUCUCUCCUCAGUGAGGACAGCUCUUUGAAUGUUUGAUCUCAAAUCAGGUAGGACUACCCGCUGAACUUAAGCAUAUCAAUAAGCGGAGGA
rnacentral:misc_RNA from 1 species